rnacentral:rRNA from 1 species
UACGUAGGGGGCAAGCGUUGUCCGGAUUUAUUGGGCGUAAAGAGCGUGUAGGCGGCCAGAUAGGUCAGCUGUGAAAACUCGAGGCUCAACCUCGAGACGCCGAUGGAAACCAUCAGACUAGAGUCCGGAAGAGGAGAGUGGAAUUCCUGGUGUAGCGGUGAAAUGCGCAGAUAUCAGGAAGAACACCCGUGGCUAAGGCGGCUCUCUAGUACGGUACUGACGCUGAGACGCGAAAGCGUGGGGAGCGAACAGG